rnacentral:rRNA from 1 species
GAUGAACGCUGGCGGCGUGCCUAAUACAUGCCAGUCGAGCGAACGGACGAGAAGCUUGCUUUUCUGAUGUUAGCGGCGGACGGGUGAGUAACACGUGGAUAACCUACCUAUAAGACUGGGAUAACUUCGGGAAACCGGAGCUAAUACCGGAUAAUAUUUUGAACCGCAUGGUUCAAAAGUGAAAGACGGUCUUGCUGUCACUUAUAGAUGGUUCCGCGCUGCAUUAGCUAGUUGGUAAGUUAACGGCUUACCAAGGCAACGAUGCAUAGCCGACGUGAGAGGGUGAUCGGCCACACUGGAACUGAGACACGGACCAGACUCCGACGGGAGGAAGAAGAAGGGAAUCUUCCGCAAUGGGCGAAAGCCUGACGGAGCAACGCGGCGUGAGUGAUGAAGGUCUUCGGAUCGUAAAACUCUGUUAUUAGGGAAGAACAGAUGUGUAAGUAACUGUGCACAUCUUGACGGUACCUAAUCAGAAAGCCACGGCUAACUACGUG